GACGAACGCUGGCGGCGUGCUUAACACAUGCAAGUCGAACGGUAAGGCCCUUCGGGGUACACGAGUGGCGAACGGGUGAGUAACACGUGGGUGAUCUGCCCUGCACUUCAGGAUAAGCCUGGGAAACUGGGUCUAAUACCGGAUAGGACCCUGGGAUGCAUGUCCUGGGGUGGAAAGCUUUUGCGGUGUGGGAUGGGCCCGCGGCCUAUCAGCUUGUUGGUGGGGUGGUGGCCUACCAAGGCGACGGCGGGUAGCCGGCCUGAGAGGGUGACCGGCCACACUGGGACUGAGAUACGGCCCAGACUCCUACGGGAGGCAGCAGUGGGGAAUAUUGCACAAUGGGCGCAAGCCUGAUGCAGCGACGCCGCGUGAGGGAUGACGGCCUUCGGGUUGUAAACCUCUUUCAGCACCGACGAAGCGCAAGUGACGGUAGGUGCAGAAGAAGGACCGGCCAACUACGUGCCAGCAGCCGCCGUAA
rnacentral:rRNA from 1 species